GUGAAUCAUCGAAUCUUUGAACGCAAAUUGCACUCUCCGGUUUUCCGGGAGAGUAGGCCUGUUUGAGGGCAAGACUAAAAAAAAUCGCUUUUGUUGCUGUUGUAUGGUGACUUUCGUCGGAGAUGGGUUAUCUUAACUCUAGGUUUAAGCGACUUAAUACUUUUUUUUACGAUUCUAAGACUGUUUCUAAGAUUUUUCUUGUCAGUAUUAGGUAUCGAAUGUCUUAUUAGUCGUGGCCGUCAUAU
rnacentral:misc_RNA from 1 species